rnacentral:rRNA from 1 species
GAUGAACGCUGGCGGCGUGCUUAACACAUGCAAGUCGAACGGGAAAUACUUCAUUGAGACUUCGGUGGAUUUGAUUUAUUUCUAGUGGCGGACGGGUGAGUAACGCGUGGGUAACCUGCCUUAUACAGGGGGAUAACAGUCAGAAAUGGCUGCUAAUACCGCAUAAGCGCACAGAGCUGCAUGGCUCAGUGUGAAAAACUCCGGUGGUAUAAGAUGGACCCGCGUUGGAUUAGCUGGUUGGUGGUGUAACGGCCCACCAAGGCGACGAUCCAUAGCCGGCCUGAGAGGGUGAACGGCCACAUUGGGACUGAGACACGGCCCACACUCCUACGGGAGGCAGCAGUGGGGAAUAUUGCACAAUGGGGGAAACCCUGAUGCAGCGACGCCGCGUGAAGGAAGAAGUAUCUCGGUAUGUAAACUUCUAUCAGCAGGGAAGAUAGUGACGGUACCUGACUAAGACGCCCCGGCUAACUACGUGCCAGCAGCCGCGGUAAUACGUAGGGGGCAAGCGUUAUCCGGAUUUACUGGGUGUAAAGGGAGCGUAGACGGUGUGGCAAGUCUGAUGUGAAAGGCAUGGGCUCAACCUGUGGACUGCAUUUGAAACUGUCAUACUUGAGUGC